rnacentral:tRNA from 1 species
GACUGGAUAGCCUAGUGGUAAAGGCAUCACUUCUAGUAAAGUGACGUAGCUAAUGCUGAGGUCCCAGGUUUGAAUCCUGGUCUAGUUG